GUGGGGUCGUUGUCUCGUUUUGAUCGGUCUUUGUAAUGCGUCCCGACGGAGCAAGCCGAGAGGCCUGCGCAAGUUCUCUUAUACAGUCUUCUUUACAGUUACAAGCCUGCUCGGCCACAUCCAUCUCUAAGCCGCGUGGGACCUGUAGCUCUCUAGGGAUAACUCGUACGAGGCGUUUGGAGCUAACUACUCAACAACUUCCAUUAUUUUCCUCGGUUACCGUACGGCCACGACAAGUACGGGUGGUCACUGCCGGCCGACCGUCGUCACCGGCAUCUGCCGGAAGUCUCAAACUACGGGCGGUUUGCGCUCCCGUCGCUGGGACAGUUUUUCCUCCUCCUCCUAAAGGCACGGACGAACAAACAGGACUGUAGUGAUCAACGAUGACAGUGGAAGCGGCGUCCCGAGUGAGGUGGGCCACCGAAGACCCGCCUACUGUUGCCCAUGCACCGACCAUGGGGCUAAUACGCUCUAUUUAAAUCGUCUUCCAUGAAGGACAAAGUCAUGACGUUGUGUACGCGGAAGAAGUGCAGGAAUGCUAGUAACGCAGCGAGCGGUUCUUGACCUUAUAGCUCUUCUAGUACUGAUAAGGUAAGUGUACGUAACAUCCUCAGACAAAAGACUCGUACCCUUAAUCGAAAUAGCGGCCGUGCACCUUGUCGUUGCGGCCGGGGUUUGUUGACACCGGACGGCAAAAACAGGAACGUUAAUUGUAACAGAUGUACUGCCCCCUAGCCUAAUUCCUUUACAAAAGGCCAUAUAUUAGAUCAUUAUCGACACCCCUGAGGGGCUUAGGCCACGAAUUCUCGAGGCGAGUCAUGAU
rnacentral:rRNA from 1 species